AUACUACUGGAUUUGGGUUGCUGUCGCCGUGAGGUCACCACACCAGAGGUCAGGUGACCUCACGUGACCUCUCUGGUGGUCAGGUGACCUCACGUGACCUCUGGUGGUCAGGUGACCUCACGUGACCUCUCUGGUGGUCAGGUGACCUCACGUGACCUCUGGUGGUCAGGUGACCUCACGUGACCUCUGGUGGUCAGGUGACCUCCCUGUUGGGGUCGUUGACAGUUUGUUUCUCUCGGUUUGUCGCGUGUCGACGACAUGAAUAAAAAACUUUCUCUGUGUC